rnacentral:hammerhead_ribozyme from 1 species
AUCCAUGUGAAGAGUUCUAAAUGGGGCGAAACGCGCGUCCUGGAU